rnacentral:tRNA from 1 species
UUAAUAUUUUUCUUAAAAAAAUAUUUUUUGUUUUUAUUUUAUAAAUUUAAUUAUAAAUUUUAUAUUUAA